rnacentral:rRNA from 1 species
AUGUUAUCUACAGUAUGUCUGAAGCCUAAAUCACCCUCGACGUUUUCUGAACCUGGAGAUGGUUUAUCUUUUAUAUAUACCUUUACUCAUGUGAAAGACAUAGUUGGUGUUGGUGAUUAUCCACCUGCCUACCUAUAUAUACCAAUUAAUUAUGAUGUUGGAGGUACGUCGCUUUGCUUCGAAGGCCCAGAAGGGACCGAUUUAUUAGCUACGGGUGGAUCCAAUUUUAGCUCUUGGCCAUCAUUCGCCUCCAAGGUGAACCAUUAUGUGUCCAAACCUUGUAGAGAAAGUGUUCCAGCAACCUGUUAA